ACGAACGCUGGCGGCGUGGAUAAGACAUGCAAGUCGAACGAGAGAAUUGCUAGCUUGCUAAUAAUUCUCUAGUGGCGCACGGGUGAGUAACACGUGAGUAACCUGCCCCCGAGAGCGGGAUAGCCCUGGGAAACUGGGAUUAAUACCGCAUAGUAUCGAAAGAUUAAAGCAGCAAUGCGCUUGGGGAUGGGCUCGCGGCCUAUUAGUUAGUUGGUGAGGUAACGGCUCACCAAGGCGAUGACGGGUAGCCGGUCUGAGAGGAUGUCCGGCCACACUGGAACUGAGACACGGUCCAGACACCUACGGGUGGCAGCAGUCGAGAAUCAUUCACAAUGGGGGAAACCCUGAUGGUGCGACGCCGCGUGGGGGAAUGAAGGUCUUCGGAUUGUAAACCCCUGUCAUGUGGGAGCAAAUUAAAAAGAUAGUACCACAAGAGGAAGAGACGGCUAACUCUGUGCCAGCAGCCGCGGUAAUACAGAGGUCUCAAGCGUUGUUCGGAAUCACUGGGCGUAAAGCGUGCGUAGGCUGUUUCGUAAGUCGUGUGUGAAAGGCGCGGGCUCAACCCGCGGACGGCACAUGAUACUGCGAGACUAGAGUAAUGGAGGGGGAACCGGAAUUCUCGGUGUAGCAGUGAAAUGCGUAGAUAUCGAGAGGAACACUCGUGGCGAAGGCGGGUUCCUGGACAUUAACUGACGCUGAGGCACGAAGGCCAGGGGAGCGAAAGGGAUUAGAUACCCCUGUAGUCCUGGCAGUAAACGGUGCACGCUUGGUGUGCGGGGAAUCGACCCCCUGCGUGCCGGAGCUAACGCGUUAAGCGUGCCGCCUGGGGAGUACGGUCGCAAGAUUAAAACUCAAAGAAAUUGACGGGGACCCGCACAAGCGGUGGAGUAUGUGGCUUAAUUCGAUGCAACGCGAAGAACCUUACCUGGGCUUGACAUGUAAUGAACAACAUGUGAAAGCAUGCGACUCUUCGGAGGCGUUACACAGGUGCUGCAUGGCCGUCGUCAGCUCGUGUCGUGAGAUGUUUGGUUAAGUCCAGCAACGAGCGCCACCCCUGUUGCCAGUUACCAGCACGUGAAGGUGGGGACUCUGGCGAGACUGCCCAGAUCAACUGGGAGGAAGGUGGGGACGACGUCAGGUCAGUAUGGCCCUUAUGCCCAGGGCUGCACACGUACUACAAUGCCCAGUACAGAGGGGGCCGAAGCCGCGAGGCGGAGGAAAUCCUAAAAACUGGGCCCAGUUCGGACUGUAGGCUGCAACCCGCCUACACGAAGCCGGAAUCGCUAGUAAUGGCGCAUCAGCUACGGCGCCGUGAAUACGUUCCCGGGUCUUGUACACACCGCCCGUCACAUCAUGGAAGCCGGUCGCACCCGAAGUAUCUGAAGCCAACCGCAAGGAGGCAGGGUCCUAAGGUGAGACUGGUAACUGGGAUG
rnacentral:rRNA from 1 species